CAUAACGUGUGGCCGGCACAGGGCUGAUUGUAACAAUUAAGUUAUGAAUAAAGUUUGCCUGAUAAAGUGUAAAAAAACAAUAAAAGAAGAAGAAUAUAAAAAGUGACAAUAAUUAAUUUCGUAAUUAUUCGAUAGUGCCCAUCACUAGUUUUGAGACAAGUUUUAGGAUGUUAAAACAAAGGCUGCAGCGCACUCACCUCGCUAUCAUUGCUGUGCAAUUUGAGGACGUAGCCAGGCAGGAGAUCUUUGCGGGCGUUCACGUCCUCGAGAGCAAGUCGGGCGGCCGGCAUGCACGCCUGACCGCCCUGCCACCCGGCUUGACCGCCAAUGGGGAAAAUGCCGCCAAUGUGCAGCACGUUGCUGUCCGUGUAUCCGCCGCCCACCGUCACCAACAUCCGACUCAGCGCUAUCAAGAGCGUCCACAGCGUCCAUGGCACUGAUGGUUGCUGAAACAAUCAAAUUUCCUGUGAAUCCGAUUAAACUGAAUAAAGUAUUGAUCGAG
rnacentral:lncRNA from 1 species